CCCCACUCCGAUCCGCAAUGCAGGCUCUGCCUGUGCUACUGUCCCUUGUCCUUCCCUUUAUCAAGCCCAAGGGACCCUGUAACCACACGCCCUCCUCAGGGCCUUUUCAUUGGAAUUCCCACGCUCUCUGCAUUUCUAAAGGACUGGUCGAAACCGCAGGGUUCUUCUGAGCGGUGAGCUACUCGAGUGAAUCGAAAUCACACUUGGUUCCCCCAAAUCCCAUCUGCAGCCACAUUUGUCAGGAGUGCGGCUGCUGCAGAAAGUGUCUCUGGAGCUUGGGAAGCAGGCGCGGGGCCACUCUGAACUCUGCUGUGCUGAUCACACCCCCUUUCUGCAUCCUGCAGGCACUUUGGUCGGACCCUUUCGAUAUCCAACACUGAUCAGUUGUAAUGAACGGCACUGUUCCCACACAGGACCUCUAAUGACUACUGAGUUCUUACGAGGAGUGCCUCGUGCUUUGCAGCAUCUAACAUCUUGAUAGUGACCUGCUAGUGCCCGUCCAGCCCGUCAGCAGAUCACGGUCACAAACCCUGGGAGAGGUGGGCUUGCUAUGCCACUGGCCCUGCUGAUUCUCCAUCCAGCAGCCGCCUCCUACUGCAGGGUACCGCCGCUCCUUUCUUGGGUCCUGGCAUGGCUCAUGGCAAUUAUCUCCCCUCCCCGACCCCCCACAGCUGACGACAUGUUCCCGUGUGAGACUCUGUGUCUCCCGAGAAGCAGACACCAAGACAGGAUGAGAUGGAUUUUAUUGGGAAAAACACCUGCAGGAGAAAACGGGUCUACGCUGCCUCAGGUCUGAAAUGAUGUCUUCUCUUUCCUGUUUUCUGAGUGGCUCAUUUUGCUGCCCGUCAAAUAGGCCCUUUCCCCAGGACCCUUGGGGUCCAGCAUAGGAUCUGACCCGGCAGGACCUCAGCAAAGACUUGUGGCUGCUUUCAGAGUGGACACCUGCCGUCACAUUUUCCUCAGCAUUUCCCUAUGCUGCCGGUGCAUUGGGGAGCUAUACUCAACCCACAACGGACUGCAGAUCUUUUGGCCGCUGCGUUCACAACUUUGUCCGAGCCACUCCGUGGAAGGCAUCCCGGAAGUCUAUCGGUCUUCCCAUGAGCGUUCAAGACUCCCAGAUCCCCACAGGCCCUAAUACCAUCUCUGUGUGAGCAGCUGCCCGUGUAUGCGGGAGGCAGAGGGAACGCAGCAUCCGUUCGGAGGUGGGUGAACCUCGCGUGUUCUGCACAGGGCAUGAGGCAGGUUCCCAGGAAGCCCAUGACCCGCUCAAGGUCCUCUCGUGACGAGGAUGCCACCUGAAACAGUCGGCUGUAGUCGCCGCCGUCCUCCGGCUCCCACUCCGCUGGGGUCUCUCUGCUGACCCGGCUUCCCCAGCACCUCUGGUUCUUCCGGGCCCGAUGUCUCUCCACUGUCGUCCUCAGUGCCAGCCUGUCUCCCACACCAGCUCGUAAACUCCAGGGUGGCGACUUUGUCUCAUUUUCUUAUGUGUUCUCAGCACCUGACCUGGGCAGCCCGGGAGGCAGCUGUGUGAGGGUGAGGUCUGCUCACGUGCCUGCCCUGUGAUGAGGUGUCCUGCUCACCUGUGGGGUCAUGCAGGGCCGCCGCUCCCCUAAUGACAUCCCAUAAACGGUGCAGAGGUUGUCUUGGGGCCCUCGCAGCUGCAAUGUGGCACCGCCGCUGAGUGUCACCCAGAGGACAACAGGGCAGGAGGGGCCGAGCUCUCCACCUCCUGCUCCCCCUCCUCGCUCUCUAACUUUUCCUGCUGCCGUUCUCUUCCUGGGGCUGGGCCUGAAGCCUGAAACCCCGGCAUCAUUAUCUCUGCAAACUCAUCUCUGUAAACGCCCAGGCAGGCGUCCUCCCUCCUCCCACCCACGGACCCCCACUUAGUCCAGCUCUUACCUGGGUUCUUGCAGAAACUUCCUAACCGGUGUGUCCAGGAAGCACUUCAAAUGUUUUCUCUGCUGCUUCCAGUUAUCUUUUAAAUCAGAGAUAGGGGGAGUCAGGCCCCAUUUAAACGUCUCCUGGAGCCGAGUGGGAGGGCAGCUCUUGGGCGUUGCCCGGGCUGGUGGGACCGGCUCCCUACUGACUGCCCCGCUGUCUGCCAAGAGCAUUUUCCCCAUUUUUCCAGAGUCCAGGCGGUGGCCAUGACCCCGAGCACGCCAGGUGUUACCACGGCUGAGCCUCAGGAGUCUCUGGGCUUUCUUCAUAGGUGCUGGGGCUCUCAGCCAUGACAGGGACACACUAGUCCCACCUCCCAGGAGAAAGCACCUCUUUCCCCGCCUUUCUGGCCCCAGAGGAAUACAGCUUUCAAGACAGAGUUUGUUCAUGACAGACUGAGACAGAGUUAAGAGACAAACUCAGGAUUCAAGCCGAAGACGUCAGGUGCGCUUGGCUGUGGGAGGAGAGAUCCACCCCGGCCCUGGGUGGAGUUCUGACAGUGGUGGGUGCCACUGGGGCCGGCUCCUCUGCGCUGUGCCAGCGCCAUCUCCCCCAGCCUGCUGCAACGGGGGCUCAGCUGCCUCUUCCAGAGAUCGUGGGGGGUCGUCUCAACUGCGGGGUCACCCAUCCCAACCAUUCUCAGCCAAUGACUGACAAAGGGGCUCCGGGCCUCCAGGAGGGACCCACUGUGCAAUUGACACGUCAGGGCGGACAUUGCAGAUGUGAAUCACUGCAGAGGGAGGAUGCCUGACAGGGACACUGUCUGUCCCAGGAGACGGGAAUCCUCACAUUUCCCAGACAAGGCCAAACUGGGUGCGUGGGAUUUUCCACACAGUUUUAAAGAAGAAAAUGUUCUGUUCUGAAAUUAUCCUAAUUGUUGGUAUUAAAACGUCAUUUAUUUAUUUCGAGAUGGGAUCUCGCUCUGUCACCCAGGCUGGAGUGCAGUGGCGCCAUCUCAUCUCACCGCAACCUCUGCCUCCCCAGGUUCAAGCAUUUCUCGUGCCUCAACCAAAAGACUUCCAAAAACCUCAAAUCCUGAGCCCCAUGCCUCAGGAUAUUCUUCAAUAGCCAUUGCAGUAGUAUAACCAAAAACAACCAUUAUCCCUCCCAAAUAAAUUAAAAACAUUAUUAAGCCUAUAUAAGUACCCCCAUAAUUUAAAAUAAUUACACAACCAACCACGCCGCUAAUAACCAAUGCUAAACCCUCCCAAGUCGCUGGGACUA